GUGAGUGGGAGCCCCAGUGUGUGGUUGGGACCAUGGUGGGUGGGCAGCCAGGGCCUCUGAGCCUCCCUCAUCUGUCUGCCCCAG
ensembl:miRNA